UACGUAGGGUGCGAGCGUUAAUCGGAAUUACUGGGCGUAAAGCGUGCGCAGGCGGUGAUGUAAGACCGAUGUGAAAUCCCCGGGCUUAACCUGGGAACUGCAUUGGUGACUGGCAGGCUUUGAGUGUGGCAGAGGGAGGUAGAAUUCCACGUGUAGCAGUGAAAUGCGUAGAGAAUGUGGAGGAAUACCGAUGGCGAAGGCAGCCUCCUGGGCCAACACUGACGCUCAUGCACGAAAGCGUGGGGAGCAAACAGGA
rnacentral:rRNA from 1 species